CAAACACUGCUUGAGGACACUUUGCCAAAUGCAGUAGUGACAUCUGUUUACAGAGACCAGGGUGGCUGACGGGGAAGGUGACGGCAACUGACACCAGAGGAUGAUACGAGGAAGUCCAGGGGAGAGAGAAGUCUACAGGUCAGAGUCCAAAGCCAGGGAAGUCAAGGAUCGAGGGAGGCAGUCAGAGUCCAGAGGGAGAUCCGGGGAUAAGUGAGACGCACAGCUCACUUUCAAGGUGAAGGAGGGCAGGUGUGCUGAUUGCUGGUGAAUGAUUACAGCUGGCGGCUGCAGCAGGACGGAGACGCGCACGGCGCGUCUCAGGAUGUGCGCGGCCGUUGCGUGUCCCAAGGUGUGACACACAGAGCGCAAUGAUGAGGACGCAUUCCAAUGCGCCCUGGCCGUGACAACAUUCUAGACAUAUUGCUUCUGAUGUUGUGGGAAAACAUGUUCAAUACUUAGGACUAAAUACCAUCUUACCUGAAUCUUUCCUCUCCGCCUGGGGUGAAGCUUUACCCAGCUACAACUAACCACCUGUAUUGGCACUAUACUACUAAAUGUAUCUGUUUUUUCUUCUGGCAAGCAUACUUUUGGCAGGUCUAAAUGUAAUCCCUAUAUUCUCUUCAAAUGUCUGGUGGGAAAAAAAGCAAUGUAAUGAAAAUAUCGUAACAUCUGCCAUCCUCAGAGUGUGACAGAAUCAGGUUGAGAAGACAAAGGGAAUAAAGCAAUGUCUUUUUAGUAGGGUUCAGUAGGCUUUCAUAACACAGAAUCAUAUGUGCAGGCCUGAUGCUAAACCCAUUAGAUAUAUUACUACAUCCCCUGGAAAGAUAAUGAGAUUACCAUUCUUUUGUUAUUUAUUUCAAAUUUUUUACAAAAAAUGAAAAAAACAUGCUGUCCAGUUGAUAAUUUUUUGGCCCCAUAAUGCAUAAAGCAAAUAAUAAUUACAACAACUCUCAACCUAACCUCUCAACCUAACUUCAAGUACGAGGACUUCUCAGACAUUGUGUUGCAUUGUUCUUCAUGUAUAUGUCAUAAAUUCCCUGCUAUUCCCGAUUAUCUUGUUGCUCAUUCCUCUGUCUCUGUGGUAUUGUUAAAGCAAGCAAAGUGUUUAUGAGCGAUAAGAGGCAGAGGAGGUCGCAAGUCCAAUAACUUGCUUUAUCAGCCCAAUGUUCUUGCAGCAAAGGCCAUUUUACGGGCAAAUUUGCUGAAGACAAAUUCUUAAUUAGUGAAGUUUGUGAAGCAACUAUCAGGGGUCUGAUAAGGAAAUACUUGUCUUGCUAUGUUACACUGCGUGAUAGACUGAUGGAUAGAUAGACGGACGGACAGAUAAAUAGAUAGCAAAUAGUAGAAUGGUAUCUGAGUAUAGAUCUGCAGAAUCCAAACUAAAUUUAGCCAAUCUUUUAACAAUGGAGCAGUCAUCAAGAAGUUCAGAAGGUAAUCAUUGUGCCUCCCUCCUCCAUGCUGUAACAUCCCAAUUAGCCACCAUUCACUUAAUUUUGAUAGGGGCUUCUUUUGGGCUUUGCUUGAUUAUUUCUCUCUCCAGCACUCAUCAGGGCCCCAUCAGUUAUAGACAAGAUGACCUUUUAAUUGAUGUUUAACCUUUGUAAUACUGCAUUUAUAUUGAAAAUUGCUUGCUUGUCUUUGCAACACAAAAAAAAAGGCACAUUAUGACGCUUAGCGAAGACUGCGGCUCAGGAAGCCAAUGAGAGUGUUUUCAAUCUGGUGUGUGGUUGGAUAAUGAAGAAAAAAGUAUUAGGGAAUCAUCUCAUAAUGACUCCGAAGGGAGGAAUUAAUUGCUGUACAUGCAACAAACUUCAGCGGCAUCGUGAUGAGCAACUGUUGCCCACAUUCUGACAAUUGGCACUAAUGACUUGUGGAAAUUAGUGCUUGUUAUUGUUCAGAUUGUGUAUUAGGAGCAAUCAACAUUUAGUCAGUCAUUUCUUCGUAUCUACCUCCAACUGGGGAGAAAAGGGUAUGUGUGUCUGUCACUGAAUCACCUGCCUGUGUAAGUGCAUCUGUUGUGUUGGGGAGUGUACAUUCACAUAUUGUA